ensembl:lncRNA
UUUUUUUUUUUUUUUUUUUCUACUUCCUUGAAGGCAUUUUUGCGCUUAAGUAUCAUUUGUGUAUCGGUGCCAAAUCUCCACCUGCAAGAUAACUACUGGUUGUGUUGAUGAACCUCGGAGUCUUUCAGGAAGCUUUGCCUUCUUUACCCCCAAGGGAACUAGGUGAAUAAAGGUUUAAAUAUAUGGUAAAUCUGAGCAUGAAGAGGCUACUAGGGAGUCUGCUAUCUACCUUGGUGACAAUAGAUACCGGACUUCGAGGUGAGAUGGAAGAGAGAGAGCCAGGGGAAGGCCAGGUGAGCAUAGCACCUCUGCUACUGUUUUGAGACUUCUUUAUAGUAGCCAUACACAAAAUGAGGGUUGCUUGGCCACAGCAGCAGAGGGGAGGUGGGGGCCUUGGAUUCACAAGGUGUGUGCAGAGGUAGUUCAUCAAAGGGAACAGUGGGACAUGUGCAAGUUGUUCCAAUGUGGAGUAGCACAGAAACUCCCAAAUAGUUGCAUUAGGAUAGAUUUGGUAGUGCUAUUUCUGGCAGCUGGUUGUCUUAUAUGACUAUGAUGAAUCAGAAAGUUGACAAUAGUUAUUCAAAAAUAGUGACUGUGGAUAGUGUUUUCAGGAAUUAAUGACAAGAGAUGACUAGUGCUAUGCUACUACACAUGCUAUUACACUUCUAUGGGAAGUGUAUGAAAUUGGUUUUAAAUAUUGAGCUGCAAAUGCCAAUUACAGUAGCAGUUGAAUACAAUUGUGAAGACAUCCCCAAAAACCAGCAAAAAAUAAAAUUGUAUUUCCAAAUAGAUGUCAGCUUCAGUGAUGAAACUUCAAGGUGAAUCACUGCCACACAGGCUGUAAGCAACAGAUUUAAAGUGCUUGUCUUUGGCUCUGUCAAGCCACUGUCCCAUUCACACGAUCACAGGGGUGUCCUAACUUCUUUUUUAAAUGCAAUCUCCUUUAAAUGAAAAUAAUAGUGCUCUUCAUCUGGUGAAUGCCUCAGCAUUAGCAUUGGACUAAUCCUUUCAUGGUGGGGUGGUGUUUUAGGUUUAUAGAUCCUACAAUGCAUUAGGUAAUACACAGAAAGAAGGCAGCAGCACAAAUAUUGCAUUCUUACAAAAUGCAAUGACCAAUUCAGUUCAUCGCUUAUAACAACAGUCUUGGUUUAUACCAAGCAUGGAAAAUACUGGCUGUUCCUUUAUUCCUGGAGCAAUUAAACAAAGCAUUUGGUAUCAUAUAUCUCUUAACAACAGUGCAUCUGGCAUGUUUAGUAGAUCUUAGUAGAUUAUAUUAUUGUUGGACCAUGAGAAAAGGACUUAGUUAUAUAUUACUUCUUUCAAAAGGGGGUGUUCCACCUUCCACCCCCCCCACCCCCCCCCAAUUGUCAUAUUUUCACCAGAUAACAAGCCAGUGGCAAGAAGCUUUAUGGCCAAACACUGAGGAUUCUUUACAAUGCUUUCCAUGUACUAGUCUUCCUGUUCCCAGUAAGGUCUGACAAAGUCUGACAAAUUAGAGGACUGGGCAAUCACCCAACUUUUGUUAAACAAAAGCAAGUGUUUAACAAAAGCAAGUGUUGGAUUUGUACCUGGGAUGAGGCAAUCCUGAGUGUACAGAGAGAACAGGGAAUGGGAUACUGGAAAGCAGUGACAUGGAAAGGGAAAGGGACCUGGGUGUCCCAUCACCAGCUGGGCAAGGGAGGGCAUUGUCCUGCUCUGCUCUGCACUGGGGCAGCCUCACCUCAAGUGCUGGGGGCAGUUUUGGGCACCACAAUGUAAGAAGACAUUAAACUAUUCGAGAGUGUCCAAGGAGGGCAACAAAGAUGGUGAAGGGCGUUGAGGGAAAGCUGUGUGGGGAGCAGCUGAGGGCACUUGGUCUGUUCAGCCUGGAGGAGACUGAGGGGAGACCUCACUGCAGUUACAACUUCCUCAUGAGGGGAAGGGGCAGGCACUGAUCUCUUCUCUCUGGUGACAGGACCAAGGGAAUGGCCUGAAGUUGUUUCAGGGAAGGUUUAUGUUGGGUAAUAGAAAAUAAUUUUUCACCCAGAUGGUGGUUGGGCAUUGGAAUAGGCUCCCCAGGAAAGUGGUCACAGCACCAGCCUGACAGAGUUCAAGGAAUAUUUGGACAAUGAUUUCGGGCGCAUGAUGUGAUAUUUGAGGCUGACCUAUGCAGUGCCAGGAGUUGGAUUUUGAUUAUCCUUGCUGGUCUCUUCCAACAAGAUAUGAUAUGAUUCUAAGAUGUAAGAUGUCCUUUGUGACACCUCUCAAGCACCUUUAAAUAGAUUUGUUGGGAGCAACUGCAGCCAGCGCUUUACUACCACAAACUGUAGGCAGUUAUCAGGUCAGAACACUGUAGCAAUAAUUGAGAUACACUGUGAAUCUCUCUAAAAGGUGUUGAUUUGUUUACCUCCUUGUAAUGUUACAUUGUUUCCUUUCAACUUCUCAUCAGCUUGAGACUUUGUAUUUUCCAGUUUGUUCUCCACAUCAACUCUUCAUUCAAGGAUCUUUAGUGUGGCCCUGAGAAGCUUUUAUGAUAAUUUUAAGAAUUUCAGCAUUUUCACAUUAUUUAGUGGACAAAAUAAAGACUCAAGUAAUUUGGAGGCUGAGUAAAAGUGAACUGAGCUGUCUUAGCAUUUAUUACAAACUAGCUAGGAUUUAUCUCUGCCUCUAGAACUUCCUAGCAAAGGACAUUGUUGUGGAAUGUAUUCAGUGUUUUAUGUACUAUACCUUACUAUAAAGAUAUCUCAGUUUCAGAAGUAAAGCACAAUGGCAGCUUUGUUUUUUGCAAAAGCUGUGUCUAUGCUAGCAAAGCAAGAGGUGCCAGGACACAGAGCUGCAGACUUGAAGCCCAGAGCUUACACUGUUAAAUUGUUGACAGCAGAAUCCCUGCACUAGGUCCAGGACAAGCAGCAUUCUCCCAAGCCACCCUUGGCAUGGCUCAGGGGGUAGCGCAGGCCCAGCUGACAAUGCAGAUGCAGCUGUCCUGUUUUGGAGGUUGAAAGUAACAUGGAUAUGGCCACUGGAAUGAGCAACUGGCCAGAAACUGACUGAGCAGUAGUGCUCUUCAGAUUACUGGUAUGGGUAAAAUUCAAAACUGAGGAAUACAGCAGCAAGAACACCUUACCUUCUGUGUGCUGGAAUUUGAAAUACUGGUGUCUGCAAAUAUGUCAUGACCUGUCCUCUUACAGAGUCCUACACUAUUAGAAUUAUCCAUCAGUGAAUGAACUGAAAGGCAUACACACCACUCUCCUGGGGGAAGAGAAAAAUGUAAGUAUGAUGGCUGCUGAAAAAUUUCAACUGAAAAAUCAGGGUUGGGAGUAUAUGGGAACAACACAAUUCAGAGGUACACUUAAUGUGGUGAAAUCUGGGAUGCACCAAGACUGGCAUGUUGUUAAAACUGUCAGAAACUGCUAUGCAGGGUCUGAGGAAAGCACUUUCAAACAUAUAUACGCAAAAAUUGAUACAUGGACUAAAUAUCAGUUUAUUAUAAUAACAUAUUAAAAAUAAAUUCCUAUGUAUUUCUUCAACUGCUCAAUUUAGUUUUCAUAUGAUGUUUCUUUACAUUAGCUGAUUGACUUUUAGUGUUGUUUGAUGCUUUAUUUAUAAGGGUCUGUCAAGAGGUAAUUAUUAGUAGUCAAGUUUGAUGCUGAAAGAUCAAGUUCAAUUCCUUUUUUAUUCAAUCUUAGAAGUUGGAUUUUAAAAAAAAUUUACAUGUGCAGAAACUAAGAACUAAGCUUCUGCUCCAGAGCUUAUUGCAAGAGCACCCAUCAGUGAUGAGGUGAGAAUGUGCAUGACACUAACUAUAAAGCAAUCUUUCCAUUAUUAUACCAUUCAAAAUAUAUAGAUACAUAAUUUUCCAACAGUGAGAGUUUCUGAGUGUCUAAAAAGCUUCUUAGUUUGCCCAGCACUACCUGUUCCAGCUAGCUCAUGAUCCACAAAUCUCUGCUUGUCUUGUUUGUACACCCCACUCAUGGAUCAUUUUCUGAACAUGCUUACCAAACUAGGUCUUAACCAAAGAGGAGGUUGUGCAGUUUUAAUUUACUCUUGUGUGCAGGAGGAUCCCACUUCAGUUCAAAAUCUUCCAGGAAAGAGAAAUCAGUAUUUUGUACCUCAGAACAGACUGAGCUAGCCACCUGGGAAAAUAUCCUCAAGAUAUGAUUUCUUCUUAAUCUCUGUUAAGAAAGUUGCUCCCCUCUGCAUGAGAAAAGUACUAAUUAGUCCAUCUAGAAUGAUCACAAUCUUUUAAUCUUGUGGUAGGGCCUCACCUGGGAAAAGGGAGCCACAUGUGCCAGUCUUCAUUUUACAUUAGUAUUAGAUUAAAAACAAGGAAGCAGACAAAAAAUGCAACCAGUGUCAUAUGCAGAGAUCAUUUGCAGUCUGAUCACACUUCUUGUGAAGCUCUGGUACUCUACAACCUGUAAAAUCAAGAGCUUGGUUCAAUUACUUUAAAUCAGAAGUUAUCUUACACAAUUUGUAUCUCAAUUAGUAUACCAUGCCUGUGUGGCUCACCAGAGCUGGGCAAACUGAAAAUAUAAAAUAAUCCUUUCAAGGCACCAAGUAGAUGCUAUACAAGAAUACAAAAUGUUGAGAAAUCUGGAUCAGCAGACCAGUAUUUUCUCAGAAGACUGAACAAUAAAUGGAGAUCGGAAUCUCAGUGAUGCGUAUUUCAUGGAUGACUGACAAAUCACAUAUGCUACAAAAAGUAGGCACUGUCAGCCAAAUGGCUCAAUGCUAACAGCCCUGAAUUUUUACUGUAAGUGCAAAUAUUGGUACUACUCACUCUACAUCAUUGCUAUUUUGGGGAAAGUAGAUAUUUCAAUUGCAUAGAAAUAAAAAUACUCGGUAGGUCUAAAUUAAACAACAUUAGAAGGAGAUACUUGGGAAAAACUAAGGAUGGUCUUUAGGCUGGCAACAGAGCAAGGCUGUGUUGGAUCAGACUAAUGAUCUUUAUAAUUAUGUACCUGCACUAUCACUGGCUGUUUUUACCUAUAGAAGUAUCAGUUCUUCUUAAGACUGCUAAAAUUCUUGCCUUUAAGACUUCUGAGGCAAAAGUGAAGCCUGAAUGACUAUAUUUUGUUAUGAGGGAAAACAUAGGUUUUAAUUUGAAAUCUUUCAAGUGUUUAAAUUCAUGAACUAUACUCUAGAGUUUAUAGAGGGUCUUGCUUUAUAUUCUCUCAAACAGAGAAAUUUUGUAUGCAUUGAUUGAAUAUUACUUCCUCCAUGCAUUUUAUUCCUUUUCCUUGGUCUUUAAUCCUAUUCCUAAAGUAUUUUUCCUUGAUCCUAAUUUUCUCCUGAGCUCUAAUUUUUUGAGAUAAGGUGAAAGACUUAAUGCAGUAUUACAACAGAAGAUGUGUUAUUGUUUUGUUUCACUGGCUUCAUAUUAGAGUUCUAGAAAAAAAAAUUACCAUAUUCUCAAUGUUGAAUAUGUAAUAAAUAGAAUGGUGUUUUAAAAAGAUUUACUACUGGCUAUCAAAUAGACGGGUUUUUUUCUCCCCCUUAUAUUGACUUGGAGCCCAUACGGAGCAUGAAUGACUCAUAAUUCCUUCAAUAGAUUAUUUUGAAUGUAACAUCAUGAAAUUAUAUCUACGUUGUUUUGCUCAUCUCUUCCCUAGGUAGAUCUCACUGAUAUUUCUUACGGCCUCCUCUACGUUUAUCUAAAUUGCAUAUUAGCAAGUUUAUCAGACUGUAUGUCUGAUAACAAUAUCACAGAAUCCUUUAAGUUAUUACAUAGAUGUAAAUCUUUAACAGUCUUUUGUAUUAACUCAGAAAUUCCAAGUCUAUACCACAUUAAUGAUAGCCAACAUAAUUUUGAAAAAUCGGGCAAAUAACCUCUCAGCUGUAUUUUUAAAAGUUGCAUUUCUAACAGGCUACUACAGUAAAUGAAAACAUCAAAUCCAAACCCCUAAUUGGAAAUGACCCUCAAACUUGGUUAAACAGGAAUCUAAAUUUUCAUUUAGAGAAAUGGAAAGACAAACAGUAGCUGAAGGCCACUGUUAAAUUGUGUCUUAAUGAACUUUAUAAUUUACCAAUUUAAAUAACAUUUGUCAUUUAAGACUUCAAGUAAGUCUUAGACUCAUAACACUAAUAUGAAACCAUUGAAAAAAAUUAAUGAUACAUGUUUUUUUGAGAAUCUUCUGCUCAACAAAAAUUGCCUUAGUAUAUUAGAACAGUUUACUACAAAGUGAAGCAACAGCAAAUGUUUCCAAAAGUUUUGUAGAAGCAAUAAUCUAAGCAAAUAAUUAUUAAUACACAAUUCUUAUUUUCAUUAUGGAGUAGCUCUUCUCUAAAAUAUACCCUGUGUAUUAUUUUUUUCAAAGCUUUCCUUAAAAAAAACUUCUACAUAACCUUAGAAGACUCAGAAAACUUUGGAGACAUCAAAUAGAAGUGAAAAUAGACAUGGCAAAUAUCUAAGAGUCUCUGUGAAAAUAAGCCCAAUAGCAAACAAUUAAGUACAGCAUUUUAAUAAUUUUCUCAAUAUCCUCUGGAUAAUUAGGGAAUGGAUUCAGUGUAGAAAGUUGAAAUGUCAGACAGAUCUAGGAAAUGUAAUUGAAGGUCUUUUACAAAAUACAAGAACACAAAUAAAUUUGCUUUAAAACAAAACAAACCCAAACAAAAUUCCCAGCAUGAACCAGUAGAAUUCCUCUAUUCAGAAGGAAUAACAUAGGCUUUAUUCUUAGUUUCUCUUUUAAGGGAAGGUUUUGUACUCAAAGAUAUAACAGUGAAACCAAAAGAAUGUCAAGGCUGGUGCAAUUCAUAUUUAUUUGGGUAACAGUAUACUAAAGAGGUUUUUAGGUUCAUUG